GUGUAAGCCCAGGCCACUCUGGACACUCUGGAUCAUGUCUGCUCUUUAGAGCCAAGCAGGGUUAGGUCAGGUUAGUCCCAUUGAUUGUAUAUUAAAAUGGGAGUGAAAGAGUUUAACAUC
rnacentral:rRNA from 1 species